rnacentral:lncRNA from 1 species
GCCUCUCACUUUUCUUCAACCCUUUCUCACGAUUGAUUUGGGAUUCCUUGGAAACAUGCAGAUUUCCAUUUGCAAAAGUCAAGAAAAUAUGAAAUUGGGGAAGGACGUCAACAAGGUAUUCUAAAUUUUAGGAUUAUUAUCAACUUGUUAGCUAUCUUUUUUCUCGAGAGGGGAGUAUUAUUUAUCUUUUUGUUUGUUUAUGUUUUAACGAGUUACAGGUUCAACAAGUUUGGAUUUAUAGAUCAGUGACCUAGGUACUGAAUACACAACUUGGGUGACGAUCUGUUUCAAGGAAGGUUUCUAGCUAGCCGAUCAAUCAACAACCCCUUUCGAUGUUUUUUCUCAAUAGGGCUUUAGAUGGUUGCCACAUGUACUAAGAAAUUUGAAUGGUGUUGAUUUAUUUGACUUACUCAAGGACUAAGUAAGGUAUAAACGUGGGUUAACUAGACAACAUCCCUGUCAUCGUUACCAUUGCAUAUCCCCCG